rnacentral:lncRNA from 1 species
AUUUUACAGAUGAGGACACUGAAACAACUGAAAUGAUUUGCUCAGGAUGAAAGAGCAGGAUUUAAAUUCAUUUCUUCCUGACUCCACAAUGGUCAUUUGUUCCUAUGUCACUUACCUAUCUGUCCUCCCUGAUGAAUCUCAGCUUUGGCUUUCUUUGUAUUUCCCCAUAUAAUGUAUGGCAUAGUUCUGGUACAGUAUGAGAACAACAUACAUGUACUUAUUUUGAAAGAUUCUAUAUGAAAAUGAAGAUGCCAUUUUGGAGAGGAGUUUGGUUUUUUAUAUAUAUCUCACAUCUAUUUGUUCAUUCAUUGAACAUGAACUUGGAGGCUGAAGUACCAGCUAGCAUUAGGAGAUAAAGACAAUCGCGAGGAGAUCUUUAUUUCUCGGGCCAGCCAGACCCUCACUCCAUUUUACUGACUCCUGUGAGAUCAGGAUCAUGAGCAAGCCUCACCGUGGUACAGACAAUGAGAUCUGAUCUAACAUCCUGUAUUCUUCCUUUCUGUGGGAUAAUUUUAUCCUUACUAGCUAAGUAAAACCCUGUUUUCAUUAAUACUCUUUGCUUAUAUUGGGUCGGUCAUUUCUAUACUGAGAUGUCUACAAUUAUGUUGGCUUCUUCAGUCCGAUAAAACAGGAGAACCAGACACUAUGCUCCAUGAAGAGCAAGAGGCAUGAAUUAUUUCAGUCCCUGGGGCCCUAAUAUCUCUGCUGGAUGUGAGACCAUAACAGCAAUUAAAAUAAAUAAAAUGAUACUGCAACAGGAUGGAAGAUCAAAGGCCUUCAUACCGGCUACCUUCUCCUAAGGGGCUUGUGAAAUGUGUUACAGAUCAUCAGAAGCACAGACCAUUCCCAGAGGCACAUAAGCUGAUUAUGACAGGGUUUCUGGUUGCCAAUCCAUUGCCAAGCCAACCCCAGAGAUCGAAGAAGGAAGAAUGAUUCAAGUUAUUAGCAUAUUUUAAGAAGUUAACGAGCAAGGAUAUUUGUAGAGAUCGAGCUAUUGUACUAACUGGAAUUCUAUUAAAAGCAGUUCUUGAAACCAUGCAUAUGCCUUAAUAUGACCCUUUCUUUCUGUGUCAUUUCCUUUAAAGACUACCACCCCACCCCCAAAGAUUGAUAUUUUUAACUACUUCAUGGUAUUUUGAGGGGGUCUCAUAAAAUCUCCCUCAAUCAUUAUAGGAAACUCGUGAAAUGUCAAUAUCAUCUCAUUUUUCUGUCUCUGUCCUGGCCCCUCAAAUCCAUAAGUUCUCGCUUCAGAAGACAUUAAAUAUAAAAUAG